ACGUAGGGGGCAAGCGUUGUCCGGAUUUACUGGGUGUAAAGGGUGCUCAGGUGGAUUGUUAGUCGGAGGUGAAACUCCGGAGCUUAACUCCGGAACUGCCUCCGAAACAGCAAGUCUUGAGUUUGGUAGAGGAUGAUGGAAUAUCUGGUGUAGCAGUGAAAUGCGUAGAUAUCAGAUAGAACACCAAUGGCGAAGGCAGUCAUCUGGGCCAUAACUGACACUAAAGCACGAAAGCGUGGGGAUCAA
rnacentral:rRNA from 1 species